AUUGAACGCUGGCGGCAUGCUUUACACAUGCAAGUCGAACGGUAACAGGCCUUCGGGCGCUGACGAGUGGCGAACGGGUGAGUAAUGCAUCGGAACGUGCCCAGUCGUGGGGGAUAACGCAGCGAAAGCUGUGCUAAUACCGCAUACGAUCUGUGAAUGAAAGCGGGGGACCUUCGGGCCUCGCGCGAUUGGAGCGGCCGAUGUCAGAUUAGGUAGUUGGUGGGGUAAAGGCUCACCAAGCCAACGAUCUGUAGCUGGUCUGAGAGGACGACCAGCCACACUGGGACUGAGACACGGCCCAGACUCCUACGGGAGGCAGCAGUGGGGAAUUUUGGACAAUGGGCGCAAGCCUGAUCCAGCAAUGCCGCGUGCAGGAAGAAGGCCUUCGGGUUGUAAACUGCUUUUGUACGGAACGAAACGGUCCUGGUUAAUACCUGGGGCUAAUGACGGUACCGUAAGAAUAAGCACCGGCUAACUACGUGCCAGCAGCCGCAGUAACAC
rnacentral:rRNA from 1 species